rnacentral:lncRNA from 1 species
AUGGUAACAAUUAUGAUUUUAUGCUUAAAGAUUAGGAAACCCUUAUUCUGGAUCACAGAGGACCAUCUCAAAAUCAACAGCAGCAUGGGAUUUCGGGGCCUGCUUUUGCGUGUACAUCACCAGAGAUUUCCAAAACUGGUGACCUUUACCUUUGGACGUAGUGUUUGCCUAACUGGGCUCUGUGGACGAGGUCUAGGAGUCCAGGAAGCCUCAGGUUUUGAAAAACAGUGGCCUGGUAAAGCCCCCAGCAAAUGCAAGGUCUUAGCAGGGUUUUUCCAAAGAGACAGCUUGUGGCAUUUUGAGCAAAAGGAUGUUUCCCGUACUUCCCAGGAAAUUGAGCAUCGCUGGAUCUUGCCCAUUAAAUGCCAGGUGGUGCUCCAGCGUCACGAUACAACUCCAAGCCAUUUGCAGAGGUUUUCAAAUCCCCCGCGGGGCUGGGCUGGGAGGUGGUCAGUCCUGAUAGCUUUUAGGCAGCACCUGUCAUCUCAUGAGUGCCUCCUGGAGCUCCCAGAGGCUGAACCUCCCUCGGAACCACCUGGAGGGCUCUCUGGGGUGCUCCCAGGAGUCCAGGUGGGUUUGGGGCUCUCAUACCGUAACUCAACUCCCGUCCGUGAUGAAGGUCCUGGAGUGAGAGCCAGGACACACGAAGUGACUGACAUACCUAAGAUCCAAGAUCUCAGAACAGCUUCCUUCAGAAAAAACUCAUCAUCGUGGAUGCUAAAAUGGGCUCAGGGCAGUUCUGGAGUUGCCUGGACCCCCCAUGGUGGGGAAAAGUCUACAAGCAGUGGCCUCAGGAUAGCCCCCAAAGCUGGGGGUUGCAGCAGAAGCGGUCAGGCCUUGAGAGUGCCUAGAGCUGAUCCCCAAAAUCUGCGUCAGGUGCGCAAUUACGCAGGUGGAGGCCGAGUGGUCUCAGGCAGCCUGACCUCCUGGCUCACCGCCUUCUCCCUCCUCCACUUUACUUUCACUUUUUUUUCUUUUCAGUAUGUGUAGGAUGGGCCACCACAGCUUCCUCUGCUGCCUCUUCAUCCCCACCAGAACUUUCCUCCUUUCACACUGUGGCGCAAAUGACCCGUGACAGCAGAGAGGAGAGUGCCUAAGAGCUUUCUCCCAGCCACCCUCCCCGGAUAAUUGUUUAUGAUGGAAAAUUCCAGUCCCAUAAAACCAGAAUAAUACAACGAACCCCCACAUCUCCAUCACCCAGCCUCAACAAUGAUCAACUCCGAGCCAAUGCAGUUUCUUCUAUACCGCCCACCCCAAAGGGGCAUUUUGAAGCAAAUCCGAGACUUCAUUUCUUUUCAGUAUGUGCAGGACGGGCUUUCUUAUUCUUUCUUUCAAAAGAUUUUAUGUAUUUAUUCAUGAGAGAUACAGAGUCUGAUACAGUGGGGCAGAGGGAGAAGCAGGCUUCCUGAGGGGAGCUCCAUGUGGGACUCGAUCCCAGGACCCCAAGAUCUCGCCCUUAGCCGAAGGAAGACACUCAACCCCCACGCCACCCAGGCGUCCCUGUGCAGGACUUUCUUGAACCUCGGUCUGACCACAUCACAUGCUGGUGAAGGGCCUCCGGUGGCCUGGGACAGUCCAGCUGGCUUGGAGGAGUUGGACAGGGCUCUCUGCAAUCUGCUGCCACCCAUCUGUUCAUCUUGCUUCCCUCCAUCCCCUAGCAGACCCUACCGAUCCUUCUAGCCCACAUCAAAUAUUGUUCCCCCAAAUGCCACAUUUUUUUCCCCUCAUCUGUCACUUGGUACAUGUUCCUCUUGCGAGACUUACCACUCUAUCCCCCAAGCCUCGGUCAGGGCUGGCUUUUCUCUGCAGCUUUCCCUGAAUUCCUAGAGGGGUGGAUCGGGCCCUCCACUGGGCUCCAGUCACACACAGACAUCUGUUUACAGCACUUAUUUAUCAGAGGGAUGCUGCUUACUGUGAGGUAGGCCCUGCUCUAGGGGGUAUUCUAAAUAAAUGGUACCUGAUUUAACCCACAGAAAAUAACUCUCAUUAAGUCACAGAUGGGAAAAGCGGGGCGCAGAGAGGUGUAGGUCACCCAAAUGGUAAGUACAGAAUUAGGGUUUUCAACCCAGGCCAUCUGGUUUCUUACCCACCCUCUGAGGCUGCUUAUUCUAGUACAGUCUUGUAUUUGUCACAUAUGUGUCGCUCUCUGCCAGCCAUGAAAUCUUUGAGAACAGGGCUGGGGCUGCUUCCCCUGGGGCACCCAGUGCUAAUGCCUGUAUCUGACGCCUUUUAGGCUUGAGCAUGAAAAAGUAUAAGGCACUCUUCCUGGUCGUUUGGAGAAACUCCAAGGCGUGACUCCUCCUAGAGCUGUUAUCAUCUCCAUAGGAUCAGGGCUUAGGCUUAACGGGAUUCCCAGUCUUCUUUCCACCCAACACGGGAUGCACUCCCUUCAGCGAGGGCUCCCUAUGGCCCUCACCUGGAAGAGCACGCUUUGGCGAGGGUGGAGGGGCAACUGGACCGGGGGCUGGUUUUACUGAGGAAUUUGAAGAUGCCUGCAGGUGUUUUGGAUAUGCCCUUGGGGCGCAGCCUCUUGGUUGAGAAUCACUGAGCUGGAGAGAUAAGCUACUAAGACCAAAUUUAGGCAGCAGUCUUGGCUGGAGGGGGAGCUUGAGGACCCUGGGGACAGAGUCUCUCCCAUCCUCCUUCUAUCUCCCAGCCUCUCCUAAAUGCCAUUCCUGACCUAGGAAUGGUUGAUCUCGGCCAACUGGAGUGACUAGUGUUACUUUUCAUGUGGAAAAAAUUUUUUUCUUUUUCCCUUACGUCCAAUGGAAUUAUUCCAGGGAUUGAUUGCACAUUUGAGCAAAUUCCUGCAAGCAGACAGGAAAGCAUGAAUGUUUACAACCUUCUCUGACCUGAUUCUAUUUCAAGGACACGGGUCAUUAGCGGCUGGCAGCAGGGAGAGCUGUAUGCAUACCUUCCAACAGUUUUGUAACCAAAUUUGGGCAUAAGUUGUUGUUGUUGUUUUUUUUUUUGGUCCUUGAGGUGGUGUUAUUAUUUACUGGAAAUUCUAUUAUCAAAUCCUGGCAGCAAAACCUUUCUUUUCUUUCUCCACAGUUCUCACUAAUUGGAAGCUGCCAUCAUUCACUGUCUUGCUAUAACCUAACUAAUGACCUAACCUAAGCCUUUUAAACAAGAGGUUUCUUAGCACGGUUCUCCAGCAAAGACGAUGCACAAAACAAAAACCAGACCUUAGUAUCCAGUUCGGAGGCUUUAUAGUGUGACCUCAGGAAAGCAGCACUGCCUGUUUAGCUCUCAUUUUCCUCAUUUCUUAGUUGGGCUAGGAUGUAACCAUUCGGUUUUGCCUUGCCUGCCGGCAGAUCUGAUGGGUAGGGGCUGCCUGGAAUGCCUGGCUGGGAAGUGUAGCAGGAAAUGGUGCUAUGAUGGGUUGUUGAUGUCUGCUGAGGGUGAGGGAGCAUUAGUGACAUAAUUCACCAAGUGUUUGUCAACUCUGGGUUUGCAGCAUUCAAGGUCUGUCCCUGUAGAGAUACAUAGAAUGUGUUUAAUGUGUGAGCUGGCCCUAGAGGCAAGAUCCACCAGGCAGGAGGUUAGUGUUUCAGUGUGUCACUCGUAGGUAUAGAUCCCCAAAGCCUCCAAGAGAUGUGGAGACCCUGAGGGGUUUGUGCAUCUCAGAAUGUCUUAUGUACUAGAUGAGUCUGACACCUGCUUCGUACGUUGUUACUAAUCAAGCUAGGCUUCUAGAUCCCCAGGUCCUGGGCACAAUGCUGAGUGAGGGUAAGUGGGGGGACUGGGCUCUGUGGCAUCCCAGUAAGAGAUGGGCUUUCUAUGUGUGUAGUAUUAGAGUCCUGGACAAACAAUUAGGAUUCUUGUAAUCUGUAAGAUUAGAAAGUGUCCAGAUAUCCCAAUAAAGGACCCAUUGAAGACGUCUUCUCAGUCUUAGUGAGGUUCUAGAACUUGUUCAAAGUCACAUGGGAUGGGAAGGACGGAGCUGAAAGACACCAGAAGCCUACAGUGGGGGUGCCUAGGUGGUUCAGUCCGUUAAGCAUCUGCCUUUGGCUCAGGUCAUGAUCCCAGGGUCUUGGUCUGGAGCCUCACAUCAGGUUCCCUGCUCAACAGGCAGUCUGCUUCUCCCUCUCCCUCUGCCUGCCGAUGCAGAGUCAUUAAGUAACCUACAGGUAGGAAAAGGUAGAUCAAAGUCACUCUUUUUGACAGUUCUGAACUCUGAUCACUGCAUACUUUAUAUCAAGAAUUCUGUAUGUUUAGGGAUGCCUGGGUGGCUCAGUGGUUGAGUGCCUCCCUUCAGCCCAGGGCGUGAUCCUGGAGUCCCGGGAUCCAGUCAUUGGGCUCCCUGCAAGGAGCCUGCUUCUCCCUCUGCCUGUGUCUCUGCCUCUCUCUGUGUCUCUCAUGAAUAAAUAAAUAAAUAAAAUCUUAAAAAAAAAAAAAAAAGACUUCUGUAUGUUAAGUAAUUGUCAAUGCAUUUGGACCCCAGUAUCUCCACAUUUGUGACUAGGGAGUACCUUUUUUUUUUUAAUUCUUAAAAAAAAAAAGAAAAAACAAACAUUAAUUAUAUAAUUAUAUGGGUGUUUUGUAGGCCAAUUGCUAACAUAAAUAGUUGCAAAGGCAAUUUGUUUUUGUAACUUAUUUUUAUUCUUACAAAUCUAAUUUGAUAAAACCUAAUAAAAUUGCUCAUGUGAAAUAUUUUCCUUUAACACUUUAUAGAUUAAUCAAAUUCAUACCACAGUAGGUUUUGUUGUUGUUUAAAUAGAGAGUUCUCAUGAUUUUAGUCUUACACAACUUUAUGCUGACAUUUCAUUCAGAAACAAGUUUAAAAAAUGGUAUUAUAAACACAUGGGGGU